rnacentral:ncRNA from 1 species
GAAUUAACAAUUUAUAUUUGUUUAACCCAUUUUGAACGGUGGGACGGGGAGGUAGUGAUGAAAAAUAACAAUACAGGACUCUUUCGAGGCCCUGUAAUUGGAAUGAGUCGACUUUAAAUCCUUUAAUGAGGAUUCAUUGGAGGGCAAGUCUGGUGCCAGCAGCCGCGGUAAUUCCAGCUCCAAUAGCGUAUAUUAAAGUUGCUGCAGUUAAAAAGCUCGUAGUUGGAUCAUGGGAGAAGGUAGGCCCAAGGAGCCUUAUCCUUAACCCCACUGCAGCCUUUCCCCCCCGGGAAAGUGCAGGAUUGGCAAGCAGAAAGCGCCAAUCCUACUCUUAAAAUGGAUACAAGAGAGCAUUUGGGGUUGUUGUUUUUUUUUAAUGCCUGCUUUUAAAAAAUAAAAAAGGUGUGUUCA